GUGUUUUAGUGUGGCUUCGCGUCUCCAGGUAUGGGAUGUGGGUUCGCUGUACUUAUUCUGGCAGCAGCAGCAGCAGCAGCAGCAGCAGCAGCAGCAGCAGCAGCAGCAGCAGCAGCAGCACUGCACAGUUC
rnacentral:miRNA from 14 species